AGUGAACGCUGGCGGUAGGCCUAACACAUGCAAGUCGAACGGCAGCACAGGAGAGCUUGCUCUCUGGGUGGCGAGUGGCGGACGGGUGAGGAAUACAUCGGAAUCUACCUUUUUCGUGGGGGAUAACGUAGGGAAACUUACGCUAAUACCGCAUACGACCUUAGGGUGAAAGCGGAGGACCUUCGGCUUCGCGCGGAUAGAUGAGCCGAUGUCGGAUUAGCUAGUUGGCGGGGUAAAGGCCCAACCAAGGGCUACGAUCCGUAGCUGGUCUGAGAGGAUGAUCAGCCACACUGGAACUGAGACACGGUCCAGACUCCUACGGGAGGCAGCAGUGGGGAAUAUUGGACAAUGGGCGCAAGCCUGAUCCAGCCAUACCGCGUGGGUGAAGAAGGCCUCGGUUGU
rnacentral:rRNA from 1 species